AAGAGAGAGGAAGAAGGUGGGAGACUUGAGACAGGUGUUCAGGGACAUCUCUACCUGGUCAGGCAGAGGUGGAGGCCCUGAUUUAUAUCUCCCCCCCCCCAAAAAAAAAAUCCUUCUUCCCAAAGAACCAGGGGCUGUGGGGACCACAGCCUCUGUGUGUGUGUGAGCCACGUUCACCCCUGCUGAGCUUACUCUUAAGCCCCCAGCAGCCUGAGCAGCCACGAGGUUCUGCACCUGCAUUCUGCUGGGACAUCUGGUCAGCUGGUAGCGUGGGCUAACCGGCAGGUGGUGUGACCUCCCGAAGGGCACCUUAAACACCCGACUUCCCAGCGUUCUCGCUCACAAUCGGAUCCACUGCUCACCUGUCUCAGAAAAGCUGUAGCUUUUGGCUUGAAAUAGAUGACCUGUGUAUCCUAAAGAAAAUUGUCCAAGCAACAAAGGGUGCUGGCAGCAUUUUAGUUCCAUACCUGAGGCACUGUUUACUAUGCACGAAGGCUCAGGUGCAUGCGCAUAGGAAAGGCGGUGUGAGCACACAGCGAGAAGGCUACUGUCUGCAAGCCAGGAAGAUAGCCCUCACCAGAGCCUGGCCAUGCUCCUGAUCUCAGACUUUCAGCCUCCAGGACUACAAAAAAUAAAAUGUCUGUUGGUUAAGCCA